rnacentral:rRNA from 1 species
GACAGAGGAUGCAAGCGUUAUCCGGAAUGAUUGGGCGUAAAGCGUCUGUAGGUGGCUUUUCAAGUCCGCCGUCAAAUCCCAGGGCUCAACCCUGGACAGGCGGUGGAAACUACCAAGCUGGAGUACGGUAGGGGCAGAGGGAAUUUCCGGUGGAGCGGUGAAAUGCGCAGAUAUCGGGAGGAACACCAAUUGCGAAGGCAGCUUGCUGGGACGGUACUGACGCUGAGGCGCGAAAGCGUGGGGAGCAAACAGG